ACUGGAAAAAAUGGCUUGUGGGCUUGCUCUGCUCACAGAAACCUUCCCUUGUAGCUAUAUAUAUUAAAGGGUGAAAAAUGCAGCAGGAUUUGGCAAAUGCGCUCCUGCUGAGAACACCACACUGGAAAUGCUUAUCAAAAACAGGCUGGCUCUUACCCUUCCAUCUCUGGAUGUUGAGAGGGGUAAACCUAUGGAGCUGCUCUGGUUAUUUUAUAUAGGUGCAAGUGAGAAGAUGUUGAGGUUGCUACACCACCAUGCACUGCAAAGAAAAGAAGAAAAAGAUGUAUUUACGUGGACAGGUAACACUCAAGCCGAAAAGAUUUAGCAGCAUUUUCAGAAAGAAUGACUCUGAACAUCCUUUCAGGUUAGUCAAGACUGCUGAAUACUUUGGGACUGGCGGGGUGUCUGGUAAGGAAGACCUAACCAUAGAAUUCUAGUAUGCUGGGG